AUAAAAAUUUGCUUUCCUGGGUUGAAAUGGUUUCUACAUUUUGGUGUUUUAUGGGACUAGAAUCACUUGCUUCACUUAUGUAUCUAACGAUUUUAGUGGCUCUUUUCACAUGAUUGAUGUCCAAAACACUUAGUUUCAUCAGUUAGACAUGUACUUAGUUUCAUCAGUUAGACAUGUAUUCUUAUGCAUCUACUGGAAAUGCCUCUCUAAUUUACUCCAUGAAAGAUGUGCAACGAAAUGUUUUCACACCAAUUUUAUUUGACCAGGAGACAAGUCAUGGAUCCAAUCCAGUGAAGGAAUAUCCACUUGGGAUCAAAACUUUGUUAAAACUACUUACUUGAUUCUCCUUGCUGGAAGCAGAAGAACGUUGCUAAGACGGGUCAUGGGGCAAGGAAACCUUCUUUUAUUGAGAGAUUCCUCAGGUUUCACAACCUAAAUUCUCCCCUUGUUGCAAUUCUUCUAUAUGAAUGUGUGCAUGUUUUCUCUCUUUUUGGUCCUUUCUUGUGUGGAAAUGACUUCCUUAAUGCUAGUUAAUUUGUAAAUGUUAAGUCCCUAUUAGAAUGGAGCACCAUAAUGGGCUGAUGCAAUCCUCAUAACUAGCCGAAAGUAAAUUCUUACACAACAAUAACAACAACAUACCCAGUACAAUCCCACACAGUAGGGUCCGGGGAGGAUAGUGUGCACGGAGAACUUAACCUACCUUGUGGAGAUAGAGAGGAUGUUUCCAAUAGGUUCUUACACAUCAAAUCCAAAUUCUUAAUUGUAAGAGAUCUCUGCUCAGAUGUGGCUCUUGCUGGGAAAAUUAUUAAAUCCUUUUCUGAAAAUAUUCUUUAAGAUAUCUUUUUCAAUGAUAAUGUGAUGCUUAUGUUUUCCUAAGGAGUGGGUCCAUUGGAAACAACCUCUCUAUCUUCACAAGGUAGGAAUAAGGUCUGCGUGCAUACUACCCUCUCCAGACCCCACGAUGUGGGAUAAUGCUGGGUAUGUUGUAGAUCUCUUUCAAUGAGGCUUUUGAAUUGUGAGGAUUAAUCAUGAAUUAACUAGUUUUACGCUGGUUGGCAGGAUUCUGCAACCCUCCUUUAUCCGAGCUUGGAUUCGGCAGCGUGACCAAGUUCAUAUAGGCAGAGUGUGGACUCAUAGUCAGUCCCAUUUCCUUGGGGCUGAGGCGUAGUUGUUGAGUCUAUAUGGCUUUUGUAGAGCAGCUUAUCCAAAACUGCUCUAUUCCAGUUCUGAAUAUAAUAAUAAGAGAUCUUUUCAGCUCAAAAUGUGGCUAUUCUGUUGCAACUUAUUCAAACACUCUCCAACAAUUAAGAAUAUGUUGAGAUGAGAGUUUUAUAAAGCAGUAUGAACCUUGUGGGCCUUGUAACAACUUUGAUUCCGUUUUUGUUUUCAUUUUGACACAAUUUCUUUGUUCUUAGCGCAUCUGACAUUUUUACAUAUAUUUGUGGACAUGUUUUCCAUUUUCUAACUUCUGGAUUUUGUUUUUAUAUUGCAAAGGGUUGCACUUUGAAUAUGCUUGUAAUGGAAAGAAGUAAUACAGCAGUGCUUUGUUCUCCAAGGCUUCAAGGUGUGGCCGUGUUGGAUACAAUCUGAAGGUUGUGUUCAAUCCACGUGAUCUUCUGGGUAUGAACACUUUGAUCCCCCUUCAAAUCUUCCUGCCUUCUCCAUCGUAAAAUAAAAGUGGAAAGGAAAAAGAGACCAGAUAGCAUUUCUUUAUUGGUAAGCUCUUAAAUCAAUUGUUAAAACCAAUCAAGGCCGCGAAGGGCAAUUACUUCUUUACUAUCAUUAUGAUGUGUGCAAGGAUGUAUUCAUGAGUAGGUUUUUUGCUCUGUUUAAGACAAUUCUAGUUAAUCUCUUUCUCCUUUCCUACUUCUUUUUUGGUGAUGUGGUCUCAUGCCAACAUGCACGCUGUAACGGACCGGAUAAUUCCCUAGCUAUCUUCCGUGCGGCCUUAGUCACAAUUCGCCCAUGCGAUGUGCUAAGUCAGCCUUUCCCCGAAAUAUCGCCACAACAAAGCUAAGAGAAGCUAAGGAGAGAAGCUUGCAAGAAAGCUUUGUAUUAAACAAGAGAAAGCUUUAUACAAGUGUUGGAUUGCUCUAUGCCUUCUAUGAUUCUUGUUGAUCCAAAUGCCAAAUGCUACUAGCCUAUUUAUAGUAGCUAGACUCCCUAGCCAACGGCUAAGAUCUAUUUGAAUGAAUGGCUAUGAUCAAAG
rnacentral:lncRNA from 1 species